rnacentral:rRNA from 1 species
AACCAGCACCUCAAGUGGUCAGGAUGAUUAUUGGGCCUAAAGCAUCCGUAGCCGGCUCUGUAAGUUUUCGGUUAAAUCUGUACGCUCAACGUACAGGCUGCCGGGAAUACUGCAGAGCUAGGGAGUGGGAGAGGUAGACGGUACUCGGAAGGAAGGGGUAAAAUCCUUUGAUCUUUUGAUGACCACCUGUGGCGAAGGCGGUCUACCAGAACACGUCCGACGGUGAGGGAUGAAAGCUGGGGGAGCAAACCGG